UACGUAGGGUGCAAGCGUUAAUCGGAAUUACUGGGCGUAAAGGGUGCGUAGGCGGUUUGGUAAGUCUGAUGUGAAAUCUAUGGGCUCAACUCAUAGUCUGCAUCGGAAACUGCCGGGCUUGAGUGUGGGAGAGGUGAGUGGAAUUCCUGGUGUAGCGGUGAAAUUCGUAGAUAUUCGGAAGAACACCAGUGGCGAAGGCGGCUCACUGGACGACUGUUGACGCUGAGGUGCGAAAGCGUGGGGAGCAAACAGG
rnacentral:rRNA from 1 species